GGGGUUGACUGGUUUCGACAGCAGGACCAAUGGAUAAGUAAGCAUGCAGAGAACCGCUGCGCGAUCUCUUAAAUCCCUUGCAGCGAAUUUUUAACUGGCAACGAAGAGUUUGCUCUUGCAGCUUAAUCUGAAUCAUAGUAGGAUUUAAGCGUUUUCCCGAAGUAUAGUAAGGAAG
rnacentral:tmRNA from 1 species